GUUCACUUUGGCAGCACAUAUACUAAAGUUGGAAGGACAGAGAGAAGGUUAGCUGGUCCCCGUGCGAGGGUGACACACAAAUGUGUGAAGGAUUACACAUUUUA